GGAAGGUUGGCAGAGCUGGUUGAACGCAACGGUCUACUAAACCGUCAUACGCGAAAGCGUAUCGUGGGUUCGAAUCCCACACCUUCCACCA
rnacentral:tRNA from 4 species